GGGCCAGGAGGAAGCAGCCCACAGGGCACUUCAGGCAGCAGAAGCGGAUGGCAGAGGGAGGGUCCCACAAAGGCCCCUUGGGCUGGGCCAGCAGGACCCCCAGCCAGGAGCCCCGAGCCGCGUCGGAGGGAGAGCAACGCCCAUUAAGUCCAUUAACUUUAACACUGAAAUCAAUGUCGCAGCCACCAGAAGUAAUUAGCGUAAUUCACAUCUCAGAUCAGGAGAUUUUUUGAAAACCAAGUUUAAUUAUAUUGAAAAAUGACAACUUCAUUUUCCCCUCCCUGGAGAGACCCCCGGAUGCGCCCCACAUUCUCAUUAAAGAGAGGAGUCAGCGCAGGUUUGCUUCUGUUUUUAAUGCCAUGAAGCCAAAACAGGACUUUGGCUAUUUCAGAGCCAAUAAAUGAGCUGGGACGCCCACGACAGAGGCCCUCCUGUUCUUAGGGCAGAGCGUGUGGCUUCCAGCCUGAGAGUCGGGCCGGGGCUCUCGGGCAGCCAGCGUGGUUCCAGGCGGUCAUCGAGCCCACUUGACAGAGGGAGAAACGGAGGAGCAGCCCACGGAGAGCACCCGCCCCGGGUCCCCCUGCCUGGCCCCUGUCGUCGGGAGCAGGCCAGACAGAGACGGAGGCGGGGAUGGGGUCGGCGCAGGCCAGCCUGGGGGUCAGGAAAGGCCGAGGGCUUUGAAGGAUCCAGGCCUUAGCCGGGGAGGAAGAGAAGGCUGCUGGUCCAGAGCAGAGAGACGGUGGCAGCCAAGGCCAGCAGCGGGCGGGGCUCGGGAGGGUGCCUGGCCGAGGACAGAGGUGGACCACGGGGCAUGAGGCCGGAGGAUGCCACGCGUCACCUCCCCGAGUCCCUCUCGUCCAUGUAAGGCUCUCAGGGUUCCCAACAAAUUAGAGGAGGUGGGCGGGAAGCCACCCCAUCCCCCGGGGAGUGCACCCCCUGUGCACCAGGCCUGUUAGCCCAUUGCUCCCUCCGGCUCUGCCCACGCAGGUCUGUGCCGCCCCAGCCCCUGAGCCUGGCCGUCCUUCUUUCCAGCUUCCCUCAGCUCGGCUGGUGCCUCUGGAGCCUCUGGCCCCCUGGCAGAUGCAUCUCCCCGCCCAUGACUCGUCCCAUGUGUUUGUUUAAGAGGCUGCCAUGGUGCUAAUUGCUGUGUUUAUUCCUGCUCACCAAAUGGGCUCUGUGCUGCAGGCAUUUGCUUGCUGCGUGGCUCCGGCUGCCUGGUCUUGCUUUUCUUUGGCGGGGGAGGGGGAGAGGGAAAGGGGAGCGUCCCUCUCGUCUGGCCCCCAGCCCUUCUCCCCACUCGGGGGCCCCUGGGCUCGGAGCAGCUUCCUGUCUGGGGAGGGGUCAGCUUGGCUGCUGGGGGGCUGGGGUGGCGUCCUCUCCUUGGAAUCACAGCUCCCUUUUCCCAGCGACCCCCACGGCCAGAAAAGCAAGCGUUAGCUCAUUGGGUGUGCAGUCUGGCCUGGCCUGGUCUCCAAGUGGAGGAACAAGCUCGAUGAGAAUGCUGUGCUUCGCUGGAUCUCGGAAGAUGAGGCGGUAAAUGUCCCGUCCUGAUUUCAAACUGUCUGGAUUUGGUCCUUGCUGGUCGGCUGCUUCCCACUGGAACACAUGCGCCCAAGGGCGGGGACCUUGUCUGGCCUGGUCACUCCUGGCUUCCCAGCGCUCCAGGGGUCAUGGGCACCCACCGGGGCUGGCACCCAGACGGAGAUAAAGUCAGCAUAAAUAUUCCACCGAAGUUUCCUGCCUUCCUGCGCUCCCUUCUCCUCUCGCCGCUGCCAGCCCAUUUAUCUCCAUGCUGUCAAUUAGAGGCAAAAGCAAAGAACUAAUUAGGAACUGUGCAAUUUUAAUUAGCUGUUUUGAUAAUUAAACUAAUUGGUUCCCUUGUGUUUCCGCAAUGUG